AUACGGAGGGUGCAAGCGUUAUCCGGAAUCAUUGGGUUUAAAGGGUGCGCAGGCGGUUUAUUAAGUCAGUGGUGAAAUCUCGGGGCUCAACCUCGAAACUGCCAUUGAUACUGAUAAACUUGAGUUCAGUUGGAGUAGGCGGAAUGUGUAGUGUAGCGGUGAAAUGCUUAGAUAUUACACAGAACACCGAUAGCGAAGGCAGCUUACUAAACUGAUACUGACGCUGAGGCACGAAAGCGUGGGGAGCGAACAGGAUUAGAAACCCCGGUAGUCC
rnacentral:rRNA from 1 species